rnacentral:rRNA from 1 species
CAGUAGCCGCGGGAAUACAGAGGGUGCGAGCGUUAAUCGGAUUUACUGGGCGUAAAGCGUGCGUAGGCGGCUUUUUAAGUCGGAUGUGAAAUCCCUGAGCUUAACUUAGGAAUUGCAUUCGAUACUGGGAAGCUAGAGUAUGGGAUAGGAUGGUAGAAUUCCAGGUGUAGCGGUGAAAUUCGUAGAGAUCUGGAGGAAUACCGAUGGCGAAGGCAGCCAUCUGGCCUAAUACUGACGCUGAGGUACGAAAGCAUGGGGAGCAAACAGGAUUAGAUACCCCAGUAGUCCCUGUCUCUUAUAC